CUAGAAUGGGCCCCUAGAUUUCUCCUGUUUUGUUUUGUUUAUUUAAACAUAUUUAUUACAGACAUUUUCUCCAAGAGCAUAGCUCAUCGAGGGAGAUUAUGUCGGAUUAUUUUGAACUUUAGGUUACUCACAUCAAGACAAAGAGGAUUACAUAAAAAAAAAGAUUACAUCAAAACAAAUCGAAUAAUCAUAGUGUGGUAGAACUUCUGGUAUUCAUUCUCAAGCUUUCCAUGAAACAUAUUAUUAUGAGAAAUUUAUAUGGAAGAAUUUACCACACCAAUGUUUUUACAGACCAAUGUUUUACAAAACAAGUUUCAAUAAAAAAAAAAGAAAAAAAAGUUACUCGGCCUGAAACCGUUUUGUAUUUAAAAUAAAUAAUUGGACAUUUUGCAUUAAUUUUACAUUAUCUUCAUGUCCAAGAUUUUCCGACCCAUGCAAAAGUAUUUCAAUUUUCCGAUUCUCUGAUAAAUUCAUCCACAUAGGAUGGAGCAGCCGCGCAGGAAGUGAGAGCAAUUGUUCACGUUGGGCAGCAAAUCGAGAACAAUAUAAAAAGUAAUGUUUGACAGUUUCCAUUUCACCCCAUCGACAUACACAAAAGGGGGAAUUUGCACAAUUAAUUCUAUAUAGGUGAAAAUUAAGCGCACAGUGACCAAGCCUGAGCCUGGUAUGGAGUAUUGAGCUAUAUCUACUUAGUGAUGCAUUGUAUUUUACGUUAUAUUUUUGUCCACAAUAUAUAUUACAUAAGGUAACUUUAAAGGAAGACAGCGUCUCUAUAUUUCGUAAAUCUGGAUCAAGAUCAUUCCAGGCAGUUAUUGCCGAUGGAAAGAAAGAUUUUUUAAAUCGUUCAGUUCUCACAGGUAUAUUAGUUAAAUUAUCGUUAGAUCUUAGAAAGUAACUGGAUCUUUGGUUUACAUAUGAAGGCAAAAGAUCACAAAGGUAGGAUGGUGCAGUGUGGGUAACAAUUUUAUAAAAAAAGGAUAGCUUAUGAAUAUGUCUCCUGGUUUUCAAAUCCUCCCAACAUAGUUCUUCCAAUAGACGAUUUCUAUUUGUUCCCCUUAUUGCACCAGUAACAAUGCGAGCUGAUUCGUAUUGAACUGCUUCUAAAAGAUUUGCUUCCUCUAUACUACAUCCAUCCCAUAUUACAUCUGCAUAUUCCAUUAAGGGUCUAAUCAGACUUUUAUAUAAGCAUAUCAGUGUUGACCUUUUAAGCUUAUAUUUAACCCUUUUUAAUGCGUUCAUUCUUUUACUAGCUUUUUGAUGUAUGCUUAGAAUAUGUUUUGACCAAGAGAAAUUUGACGUAAAUGUUAAACCUAAAUGUGAAUGAGAAUCAACUUCGCGUAAUGCAGUGCCAUUUAAGUAUAAGAUUGGCUGAGGAAGUCGGUUAUGUUUCGUUGAAAAUGUAAUGAUUUCGCACUUAGUAGGAUUCAAUCCCAUCAACCAUUCCAUACACCAUUGGUUAAUGCUAUUGAGAUCCUCGUUUAGUCUAGAAUCAAAGGAUGAUAAAUUAUCAACAAUUUCAAGUAAAGAUGUGUCAUCAGCGUAGAGAAAACAGUCAGAUACAAUAUUGUUGGAAAUAUCAUUUACGUAUAUUAGAAAAAGCAAUGGCCCGAGCACUGAACCUUGUGGAACACCAGCUUCAACACUCAGCCAGCUCGAGCAUUGCCCCUCAAUGACAACUCUUUGUUUUCUAUCAGACAAAUAACUACAAAACCAGCUUAAAAGUGGGUCUUUUACUCCAAGAGAUUUUAAUUUGUACAAUAAACCCUUAUGCCAUACUUUAUCAAACGCUUUGCUAAAAUCUAAAAACACCACCUUGGCUAAUACAUGAAGUUUCUAGUGAGGGAAAAGUGAGCGCGCGAGGACCCACCAUCAAAUUUUUAUCGAAUUUCUAAAGCUUUUUCAUGUGACGUCUAAUGUUACGCUUACAGUUGUUUUGGACUUUGGCC